rnacentral:rRNA from 1 species
GACAGAGGCCUCAAGCGUUAGGCGGAAUCACUGGGCUUAAAGCGUGUGUAGGCGGGUCGUUAAGUACCUUGUGAAAUCCCACGGCUCACCCGUGGAACUGCUGGGUAUACUGGCGAUCUUGGGCCAUUCAGGGGCAACUGGAACAAGCGGUGGAGCGGUGAAAUGCGUAGAUAUCGCUUGGAACGCCAAAGGUGAAAACAGGUUGCUGGGAAUGUGCCGACGGCUGA